AAAGAUCACAAUCCUGGCUGGAAAAUUGUCGCUGUGCCUUGUGUAGGUCAGGGUAGGMUGUAAUUCCAGCUGUUGUGAUCUUCCUCCAGUUCAAGCGUCUGCAAGGCAAGCGGAAUCGUGGGAGGGAAGAGAUCAACUUUGUGGACAUCAAAGGUGACGACCAACUGAGCGGGGCCCAGCAGUGGCUGACCAAAUCCUUGACAGAGGAGAAGACCAUGAAGUCUUUCAGCAAGAAAAAAGGAGAUCAGCCCACGGGACAGCAAAGGAGAAAACACCAGAUCACGUACUUGAUCCAUCAGGCCAAGGAGAGGGAACUGGAACUGAAAAACACAUGGUCUGAAAACAAGCUCAGCAGACGGCAGACUCAAGCCAAAUACGGAUUCUGACACAUCUGUCCUGUUUUUUGGCUGGUGGCCCGGGUGACCUGCUGUGUCCGGUGUCUCCCGGCCUCCGGGAGAUCAGCCAGGCCCCAGGACGGGGCUGCUCAUGGGAGGAAGGACACUGCACUCCCUGGCCUGGCAGGAAGAAGGGUCAUUGCAAGCUGGGCCUGAAAUUCYACCUGUAAUCCUUCCCCUCUUUCCUUGUAAACAAUAACGAGGAAGGUUCUGAUCAGCCAAGGACAGUCCUGAGGCACUGCAGGGAACGUGCCGGGUGUGAGGUUCAAGCUCCUGUCCAAAGGAACAGGGGCUGUUCCUUCCUCCACCAGACCCUUCAGCAGAGGCUCAAUAAACUCCCAGUUCCCACUUUG